UUCCUUCUUUACGCACAUUCCUUUUCCUUCUUCAAAAUCCCUCCCCUCACGAACAACGACGCACGACGAAAACCUUAACCUUAAACCCAUUCUUCUCAUGUCCACAAUCUUUCUUCUUGGUAAGGAAGACCCACGGCGAGGAGACCCAUAUCGUCGUCGGUGAGUUCUUGAUGUUUCUUUUUUCGUUUCUUCUCCCUCCAUUUAUCUCUUCCCCUGUGCACAGUCCCACAAAUUACCUUGAUAGAUUCAAGAGGAAGUAGGGUUUUUAGAGACAUAUAAAGUGCAUCGAUUUCUUGGCUUCUUUGUCUCUCCCUUUCACUCCCUAACUCAGCAACGCCUUUGUCCAUUCUCUAAGGUUUUCAUUGGAUCCUACUAAAAUAUUGGGGUUAAAUGUCGCGUCAUGCAUCUAUACAAGCCACAGAGCUCCAAUUGGACAAGAUGAUAAAGGGAAAGUAAAAUACAUUUUGCGCCUGUAAGUCUUCUUGUUCAAAUAUUGAGAUGCUUCAUUUUAAUUUAUCCAUAUUGAUUAUCAAAAAUUUGGUAAAGGGUUCGACAUAAUUAUAAAGGCUUUUAUAUUUCCACCAGUUGAUUAUGAAUUGAAAAUACUUGUAUCCUUGGGAAGUUGAGAUGUCUAACCAUUCCAUUUCAUGUUGUAUGGCAAACAAUAUUCAUAGUUUCAAUCUUUAUGUAUGUAAUGUGAAGCUCUGUUGUAACGACCCAACUCUUUAUACUAAGAUGAGGUCAUUACUAAAAAGAAACAAUAACAAGAGACACUUUUUUGAAAGGAGGGAAACUACAUUUUCAUUAAAAACAGAAUGCUAAAACACUGAUACAUAAACGCGGAAGCAAAACUAAGUCCUCAUAUGGUAUGUCACAGAUCCUUCUCUGUCACUCGCCAGCUUUCCUCUACCUUUACCUUCGCCUGAAAUAUUAAACAUAGAAAGAGUGAGUAUAAACAAAUACUCAGUAAGGGACCUACUACUACUCCCGCUAGGUGUCUAUUAACUUCCUAUCAGAGUCCUAAAAAGUGGUACCCAAGAACUGGCACGUUCCCGAAAACAUGAGAUCCCGGAGGAACAUAACUGGUCUUCGGUGAUCCCAAAGGAACACCUAGGACAAACUGGUCUGUAGUGUACCCGGAGGAAACACUAAGACAAUCGGGCUACGAGCGAUCCCGUCGAAUCACUCGAAUCAUAUCUAUGUCAAUGCUAGACAGGCGGUCCCGUCGGACUACGCAGUCUUAAAAAGGUGGUGAUUCCGAAAGACACUCAUACAGGUACAACUCUAAUAGAUAAAGCAUGUAGCAUAACAUAACAUCAUAACAUGGCAUGAGUAUUAAUCUUAACGUCCUUAAUCAUGUGAUUAAUAUAUCAUGCAUUAACAUCAACAUCAACAGUCAUUAUCAUAAUAUCAGUCAUCAACAUCAAUCAAUAUAAUGAGUUAUGCAUUUUAGCUACCAUCAAUGCAUAAUCAUAAUUACAUGCAGUCUCUUAAAUUCAAUUUGAAGGUCUAGUAGAAGAAUCUCUUACUUGGAGAUUUUAGCCAAACAAAUUACUCUCUAGCUGACAGUAAAAAUUCUCCAAUUAACUUGAUCCUAAUCAUAAAAGAAAAACUCAGUAUCUUAAUUAAUGAAAUUAGCAAUGGCUAACAUCCAAAAAUUCUCCCAAAAUAAUUAACUUUCUAAAAAUUUGGGGUUGAAACCAAUUCAACCUUGAUUGGGAAAAAUCCAAGAUUUAAAUCUUAAAAAUUAGUCAAUUAAACCUUUAAAGAAACCUUAAAUAAAUCCAAAAUUAAAUUAAUAAAAUAUUAAUUUAAUUUUAUUGGCUUACUAAGGUUAUUCAAAUGGAGCUUGAAAAAUACUCUUAUCCUUGAUGGGAAAAAUUCAUCACUUUAAAUCCUCAAGCUUUACAAAGAGACCAAUCUUAACUACAAUUGGUGAGGCGACGACAGCAGAGGGUUACCUUAGAGAAGAUGAUGAAGAACCUUUUUCUUUUUUCUUUACUUUAUAAAUUAAACAUUCCAAUGCUAUUUAUAGACCCAAAUAAUAACAAUAAUAUUUAUUAUUAUUAUUAUUAUUUCCUUUUCCUUU